rnacentral:lncRNA from 1 species
CCCUAAUAUACUAGAAAAUUAAUAUAUGAAGAGUUCAAUAUAAGGUGAAGUCUUAAUACAAUGUGUAAAACUAAUAAUGGAAUAUUUGGAAUAAAUAGGAGUAAAAAACUGCCAAAAGGGGAAUUAUUCUCCUUAUCAUUCUUGAACUCUUUCAAGACUUUUUCAAGUCUACUAUUAACUCCCAAUACUCUCAUCUAACAAUAUUUUCCAAUCAAAAUACUCAGUAGAAUUCGAGUCACAAUCCAAUUUUAACAAACUCCACAUUGACACGAAUUCUACUAUAAGGAAUAUAACUUAACUCUUUAGCAAACUCCAAAAAUAAUUCAUAAAGUAGAACGCUCCAAACAAAUUACUCAACUUCUUCCACCAUGCCCCUUCCGAGCACACAUGCCCCUAUCGAGAAUACUUAGCAAUUGUGAACUAAAUUCAAACCUUGCUUACCUGCAGAAUUACCUUGCGCACCAACCUUACUUGAAUAAUCCCAUUUACUUCUAGUUUCAGCUAAGUCAUCAAUAUUGCUUGAAUCACCAUGAGCACUUCCAACACCAUCUGAGUUGUCAAACUUGCUCGAAUCACCACGAGCGACUUGAUCAACACGAUCCCAACUAGUUCGGUCUGAGUUACUGGAAAGUUCUUCAAUAUCAUUGCACGAAUCAUCACGAGCAACCUGAUCGCAAACAACUCUACUCAAGUUAUCGCUUAUCGAAUCAUAAGCUGUGGUUGCAUCCAAAGUGAGCAUUGAACCUUCUAAUAUUUAUAAUCGAUCCUUACAUUCAUUCUUCUUCAACAUCUAAACAAAAAAUCCACCAUAACAAAAAAUAUUGUUGCAAUCUAAAAGCGAAAUCUCAAAUUUCAUAGUUGUCAUCUUUGAAACAAUUGACCUUUUUG